GUGAAUCAUCGAAUUUUUGAACGCAAAUUGCACUCUCUGGUAUUCCGGAGAGUAUGCCUGUUUGAGGGUCAGUUUAAAUAAAAAUCGGUGUGGUUGAUGCUUUUCGUGGUGAUGCACUGGGUUUGUGUCGUCUUGCCUUAGGUUAUGUGACCUAAAUUUUUGAAUGAUUUUUUUCGAACGUAUUUUAAUGUUUUUACGUUCGUUUGCGAUUUCGAAUAAUAGGUGUG
rnacentral:misc_RNA from 1 species